rnacentral:lncRNA from 1 species
UAAACCCUACCUAUUAUCCCUCAGGGUGUCGCUACUAAUUUCAAUCGUCUCAUGUACCAUGCUUCAUUCGCUCCAUUGAACGUUGUGGAUGAUGAUUAAAUUAGAUAUAACUAUUAUUAUCGGGUUUCUUUCUUCUUUAAAGUGUGAAUGCCUGGAAUGGCGUAGGGUUGUUUUAAUUUUGGUGGCUUUUGUAUUUCUAUGGCUAUAAAUAUUCAGGUUUCAGAGACAAUUAUGUAUUUUUUCUAAUGCAUCUGUCUUGUCAUGUAGUGGCAAAGAGGACUUCCGUGUUUGAUGAUCCUACAAGGGAGAUUCAGGAGCUGACAGCAGUUAUCAAGCAAGAUAUUACUGCCCUUAAUUCUGCAGUGGUGGACCUUCAGCAUCUAUCUAACUCCAGAAAUCAAAGUGGGAAUAUUUCUAGUGACACAAGUAGUCAUUCAACCACAGUUGUUGAUGACCUGAAAAAUCGGCUGAUGAGUGCCACAAAAGAGUUUAAAGAAGUGCUCACCAUGCGAACUGAGGUAAGACCUAAUGUUGCUGAAUAAUUAUUUCCUGUCAAGUUUGUUAGGCUGGUGCUCUUAGUAUGAAAUCGUUCUACUGUUGCUGCUCCUUAAGUUAUUUUCUAAGACUAAUGAAUCCUUUGGUUGGUUUCAUGAAGAAUUUGAAGGUUCAUGAGAAUAGAAGGCAAUUGUUUUCGGCGACUGCAUCUAAGGAUGCUGCAAAUCCCUUUGUUCGUCAACGUCCACUGGCUGCCAGGUCAGCUGCUAGUUCUUCAAGUGCUUCUCCUCCUCCAUGGGCUGGAUCACCCUCUUCAUCACAGGCGUUCCCCAAGUAAGAGAGUAUUUUUUUGGUUCUUGUUGUUAAUUAUGGAUAACUGGUACUGGAUGAUUAUAUUGUAACCCGUAAGUGAGUAGCUAUAUUUUUCAUAUAUAAAUUGUCAUGGAGACGUCUAUGUAUCUUUUAUAUUGGGAGAGUCAUCUUGCACUCCUCCCUAGUGGAAAAAAUAAUGGAGGGAGGAGUGCAAGAUGUCAUUCGAUUUUGUGAAUUUUGCACUAUUAAAAUUCUGGUUUAAUUUCUCUAAAAUUUGCAAUUAGUGUUGCUGCUGCUUGCACAAUUUCUCUUCUUGAACAUGUUGAAAAUAACUGGCCCCUUCCUUUGUCUUUCUCCCCAUUCCUUGUUAUGACGUUAAAUAAUCUGGAGGAUCAGUUAUCUCAGUUUACAGUAUUGACUUCUAAACUUCUGUAUUCUUUCAUAGUGAAUCCUAGAACUGAAGAUGCUCUUUUGAAUAAUUUCAUUUUCAAACUUUUGAUUAUGAUCUGUUUCUGUCGUGUGGUCGUUAACUUAAUAUGGAGGCAAAACAAUUGAGACGUGUUGGUUCGGAUAUAAAAAUUGAGCUUGUAUCAUAGUGAAACAUAUAUUGAUUUCUGAUUCUACAGGAAGCAGAUGGAUGGGGAGAGUCAGCCAUUGCUCCAGCAGCAACAACAACAGCAGCAACAGGAGCUGGUUCCGGUGCAAGACAGUUACAUGCAAAGCAGAGCUGAAGCUUUGCAAAAUGUUGAGUCCACUAUUCAUGAGUUGAGCAAUAUUUUCAACCAGCUUGCGACCUUGGUUUCCCAGCAAGGGGAGGUUGCUAUCAGGUUUUACUCUAAUUCCAGUAUCUUCCUUUGAAUUCAGUUGGUAGUGCUAAGCACACCGUGCUAAAUGCUAAUAAUAGAUCACUAUUUUUUUUAGCACCUUACACGCUUGGGGUUUUAUUGUUACUGGUAAAGCAUUGCACAAGCUGGGCAAAACAAAAAGCUGUGUUCAGACACAAGUUGGGCAAAACUAAAAGCUAUUUUCAAACACAAGCUGGGCAAGAAGCUAGUUAUCUAAUAUUUAAGCUUCGUUUGACCCCUUGAAAUAAGUAUAUAUAUAUAAUUGAACAAACUUGAGUAUAAAAUUGUUUUUGACCGUGGUGGUUCAAACAUUUUUCUGAUAAGAUGGGUAGCUAAGCUUAUCAACCAAAUUUCUAUGCAUUCUGUAUGACCCCGACAUCUGGCCGUAGUUUUCGUUUGGUUCUAAGUUUUCUUGUCAGGCAGUAUGUGUUUUGAAGUUUGUGGCAAUUGUUAAUCUUGAGGGUUUUAGGGUCAAAUGCUGUAUUUGUGCGCUAUGUAGUGCAUCUGUAGGGUGUUUCGACUUGGAUUUUCAAAAAUUAAAUCUGAUGAUGGUAUUUCUUGUGGCAGAAUUGAUGAGAACAUGGAAGACACAUUAGCGAACGUAGAGGGCGCACAAGGGGCAUUGCUCAAGUACCUGAAUAGCAUAUCAUCUAACAGGUGGCUGAUGAUCAAGAUAUUCUUUAUACUAAUAUUUUUCCUCAUGGUUUUCCUAUUUUUUGUGGCAUAGUCAUUUGCAGAGAGAGAGAGAGAGAGAGAGAGAGAGAGAGAGGGUUGAAAAGGAAGAAAAUGACGAUGAAUUUUAAUAAUUUUACUGUCGACAAAGCCCUUUGUAUUCUAUUCGUAUCAUCUUUUUGCUUCUUCGAAAGUUCACGCGAGCAUAAACAAGAUAAGUAUCGGGGUUUUCCUAUUGUGGUAUAUAUGUUUGGGAUACAUGUAACUGUAAAAUUUGUUGAGAACGGUGGGCAAAAACUAUUCAUUUGUCUGCUCUGUGAUUGUGUUCAAGUGAUUGGAGAAACUUUAGUAAGGCUGUCUAAUUAAAGCGUCUCUCUUGUCACAUAAAAGGGGCCUAAAAAUUGUGUUGACCACCGACGUGCCCCAAGACAAAUCCAAGUCAUCCUACUGUGAUGUUUUCAGUCUGUCUUGCAUGUUGCGGUUAAUUGCACUUAUAUUAUGAAAUUCCAACAAAAAAAUUGUUAAAUAUUUUCACUUUUCAAUAAAAAACAGCAUUACAUAACUGUUUUUGUUUCUUUUGCCUGAAUUGUUCACCGUAUUUUUUUUUUAAUUUUACAGAAUUAUACAUGCACGCAUUUUCUAUGGAUUGUUUUCUCUGCCUUUGUGAUAACUAAAAGUUACCUUCCCAUUCUCAGUUAAAUCCAGGUACAUUUUUGUUUUCUUCUCCAACAAUUUACUAAAAAUUUCAACAAUAAAAAGCAAUUUGCCAAAUCUUAAAUACACAUGAAACAAAUUACUAGCAAAUAAUAAAUAAAUAAACUACUGUGUUAACUUUUUUUUCAAUAUAAAUGACAACUAAACAAACAAAUCCCCACUAGACAAAACAAACAACAGAGAUAAGAUUGAAGAGACGAAGAUAGACUAACUGAUACGAAACAAGAACAUAUUAACUUUCUGAGCAAUGGCUAUGAGCUGCCCAUAAACCAUAUUAAUUUUCUGAACAGUGGCCAUGAGCUGCCCAUGGUUUAUAGGAAAUUGACACCUCAUUCUGGUCUUCCUGAUUCUCAUCAUGAAGUCUUUUGUGGACUUAUAUUCAUACCGUUUGACUUCCACCAAGUCAUUGAUGGUUACUUUAGGCUCCACCUUGUAAAAUUGCUUAUGGAAAGUCAUCUCCAUUUGCAUGGUUGUGUAAGAAAAUAAAACUAAAAGUCUCAUCUAUGAUUCGGAUUUACCUAAUGUUUUGAAUGAUGGUCUUUUUUUUAAUUAGUUUUUUUGAAUAAAUGAUAUUAUCUACAUUAAGAAUAGGGGUGAGCUUAGUCUCAUAAUAGGUUGAUAAUAAUGUGGUUUAAAUUUAUCUUUGGUUAGAAUCGAACUUAAGACCUCUAAUUUACAAAUGAAUGAUGGUCUAUAAAAAGUAACAUAAAAAAUGCACGAUUUAGAUCAUCAAACAAUAUUGUAGAAUAUUAGAAAGAGAAAAAAGUAAAACGAUACCGUAUAAAAACAAAAUAGUUAUAAAAGAGGAAAAUGUUAUUGGCAUUCCAAAAAUCACAUUCUACACUCCUCACAAGUGUAUUUUUUUUCCUAAUAUAGAAAGUUUAGAGUAUAAAAUGAGAUUUUUGAAGUGCUAAUAACAAUUCCUUAAAAAAAAGUAGUAGUUUAUUUUAUAAAACAAAAUAGGUAAAACGAGACCGUCUAAAGUGGGAAAGGUCAAACAAUACCGUUUGAAUUUACAUCCUAUUUAAAAACUAAAAAAGUUUUCGGUUUUUUAUAUUUUUUAAGCUAAUUAAAAUCUUAAAACCAUCUUCAAUCCUUGGCUUGGUUUAAAAUUUUUAACCCAGUAAAUUUAGGUUUUAAUUCAGAAAUAGUUUUUAUUUUCCAACCAUUAUAGGUUAAAUUUUUAGCCCAAGAUUAUUAAAGAAUGAAUUUAAGAUAUUUUUUUUUUCUUAAAGUAAUUUAAAAAAUAAAUAAAUUAUAGACUAUCAUAAUUUAAUUUUAUGAACAUUUUAAUAUAAAAAUAUUUAGAUUUCGAUAAAUAUUAAAAAAUAACUAAACCAACAUCAUGAAACUCGUGGAGCACUAUGAAAGAAUAUGAAACACAUAAAAGAUUUUUUUUUAAGAGUAAACUGCUGAUUUGCCCCCUGAACUAUCACCCAACUUUCAAUUUGCCCCCUGAACUUUUUAAUUGGAAAAUUAAGGACUUAAACUAAUUUUUUUGGCCAAUUUGCCCCCUGAUAUUAAUUUUUCAUUCAUUCCAUCCAAAUUUCUGUUAAAUGGAAGCAUAUGCACAACAUGUGUGGGUAGUUCGGUCACUUCAUUCUUUAAAAUAAUUGAAAACCUUAGAUUUUUAAAAUAUAAACCUAUGCAAAUAUGUGUGAUUCUAUAGCUUUUCUAUCUGAAGAUCUAGUGAAAUGACGCUUUUGUCCACAAAUGAGAGUUACGUAGUUUGCACAUGAUAAGAGUUAACGUUAAUUUGGAUGAAAUUUAUGAAAAACUAACGGUAGGGGGGAAAUCGGCCAAAAAAAUUAGUUUAAGUCCUUAAUUUUCUAAUUAAAAAGUUCAGGGGCAAAUCGAAAGUUGGGUGAUAGUUCAGGGGGCAAAUCGGCAGUUUACUCUUUUUUUUAAUUAUUUUAGCCGUUAGAUUUAAAUUUGAUAUGUCAGACUUUUUUUUACCGUCAGAUUUGAUCAUAUUAGAUCUUAGCCGUUGAAUCAAUGAAUUUAUAAAUAUUAAAUUAAAAAAAAAUACACAUAUAUGGUGGCCCAGCCUCACUAACCGAGGAGGAAUUCUAGCCUAAAUUUGUCUUAGAAAGGAGUUUUGAGUUAAAAUUUAUAUUUGCCUCAAGUAUUGGAGCAAAUUGGGAUAGGUUUAGAAUCUAAAAUUGAGUUUUAUUCCAAAGAUUGAAAUAGGUUUAAUGAUUUAAGGAAAGGAUUAAGAACAUCUUGAAGCCACGUGUAAAAUACAUAAAAACGAGGGACCAUAGUGCAAAAAUCCCCCGUAUGAAGGUACUGCUGUAGAUUCUUUUCUUCUGUUUUUUUUUUUUUCACUUUCAGUCAGAACUAUAGCAAAAUUUUCUUUAUUAGGUCCAACCAUUCGCGCGAUCUCGAUCCAGACGCAGCGUUUCACCAUUCCCGCGACCUUCAACUCCGAGUCAGUUAUUCCUCACUCUGCUCACAAAAACCUCGAUUCCGCAGGUCUAGGGUUUCAGAUCUCACACUUGUGGAGGUAAGUUCCCAAUUCCGUGCUUCAAUUUCUCUACUUUAAUGUUUGGAUGCUCGGAAAGCUGGGGAAGGGAAAAGAAAAUUGGGGUUUUGAUGUGGGGUUUCAAUUGAAUUUCACAUCAAUUAGGCAAAUUAGCAAUGGCGAAAUUUGUGUGAUGUGGAUUAUCUAAUGGAGUGGGCAUUUGAGAAUUGGAGUGGAUUUCUGCGGUUUCAGGUGGUUAUGCUAUUCUAGAAUUCAAAUUUUGGGAAUUUUAGGGUUUUGGAAGAAUGCAUGCGAAAGCGACGCAAUCGUCGUUUCGGGACCGGACGCACGAGUUUCAGAGUGUAGCGGAGAGGCUAAAGAAGUCGUUCUCAUCAGCGCCGGGGCAGAAUGGGCCGAGUAGUGGAUUGAAAUCGAAAUCUGAGGAGCAGCGUUCCGCGGUUGCAAUUCAGUCGGAGUUCAAUAAGAGGGCCUCCAAAAUCGGGUAUGGGAUACAUCAGACGUCGCAGAAACUUGGAAAGCUGACAAAGUGUGAGUUAUUGAUGAUUGGUUGUAUAAUUGUAAUGUUAUUGCUUUUCUUGUUUCAGUUUGAUAUUGAAAACAAUGCUAAUUGAUAUACGUGGUGUGUAAUUCUUGUUAAUGUCCUGGUGCAGCAUGUCGCUCUUGAGAUUUGCGUUGGUUGUCAUGAUAAUAUUGUUGUUUCAGAUAUUGAAGCGUUAUAAGAUAAUCUUGUGUAACAAUUGUAAAGAACCAAUAGCUUUUCCCAUAUCAACGCUGCACUUAUAUUAUAGUGAUAAUCGACACUCAAAGUUACUAAACCCUACCUCUUAUCCCUCAUGGUGUCGCUACUAUUUUCAAUCGUCUCAUGUACCAUGCUUCAUUCGCUCCGUUGCACUUUGUGGAUGAUGAUUAAAUUAGAUAUAACAAUUAUUGUCAGAUUUCUUUCUUCUUUAAAGUGUGAAUGCUUGGAAUGGCUUAGGAUUGUUUUAAUUUUGGUGGCUUUUGUGUGUCUAUGGCUAUAAAUAAUCAGGUUUCAGAGACAAUCAUUUAUUUAUUCUAAUGCAUCUGCCUUUGUCAUGUAGUGGCAAAGAGGACUUCCGUGUUUGAUGAUCCUACAAGGGAAAUUCAGGAGCUGACAGCGGUUAUCAAGCAAGAUAUUACUGCCCUUAACUCUGCAGUGGUGGACCUUCAGCAUCUAUCUAACUCCAGAAAUCAAAGUGGGAAUAUUUCUAGUGACACGAGUAGUCAUUCAACCACAGUUGUUGAUGACCUGAAAAAUCGGCUGAUGAGUGCCACAAAAGAGUUUAAAGAAGUGCUCACCAUGCGAACUGAGGUAAGACCUAAUGUGGCUGAAUAAUUAUUUCCUGUCAAGUUUGUUAGGCUGGUCCUCU